rnacentral:rRNA from 1 species
CCUACGGGAGGCAGCAGUGGGGAAUAUUGCGCAAUGGGCGAAAGCCUGACGCAGCGACGCCGCGUGAGGGAUGAAGGUCUUCGGAUCGUAAACCUCUGUCAGCAGGGAAGAACGGUCACUGUGCUAAUCAGCAGUGAAUUGACCGUACCUGCAAACGUAGCACCGGCUAACUCCGUGCCAGCAGCUCCGGUAAUACGGAGGGUGCGUGCGCUAAUCGGAAGUACUGGGCGUGAAGCGGUCGUAGGCGGUAUGUCAAGUGAAGGGUGAAAUCUCCGCGGUCAACGUGGGAACUGCAUUUGAAACUGGCGAACUAGAGUGUGUGAGAGGAAAGUGGAAU